GCGCCUUUAGCUCAGUUGGUAGAGCAGCUGACUCUUAAUCAGCGGGUCCACGGUUCGAGCCCGUGAGGGCGCA
rfam:Leucobacter sp. TCD-THT genomic scaffold scaffold8.1, whole genome shotgun sequence.